AUAAUAAGCCAAAUUUAAAAGGUCAUACAUUCUGUAAAAGUAACAAUUUUAAGUAUUUUCUCAAGUCUCCGGGUCGGCAGCAAUCCAAACAAUCUGAAAGCCGAAGCGGAAGUGAGCGAGAGACGACUAAGGGGGAGACUCGGCCUGGACGAGUUCUUACAUCGGAAGGGCCUAAAUAAGCGUUACAAGAAAAAAAGUUGACCCGCGUAAAUCUACCCUCGGCCAGUCCGGGUUUUCCCACCAACCAAACAGAGAGAAAGCGGUGCCGGAGAGACCAGACCAGAUCGGAUGGCGGACGGAACUGCGCACUCGCGGUAUGUGAAGCUGACGAAGGAUCAAGCGCCAGCCGAGGACAUUAAGCCCGGCGAGCUCAAUCAGCCCAUCGAAGUUCCCCAGGAAUCUCUCUCUCCCUCUCUCUAGUCGGAUUCGUUGAAAUAUCUAUUAAUUUGACAUGGGUUUGCUCUGAAAACUCCGCAGCUAAUAUCCCAUUUGUUUUCCUGUACGAUUUUGUAUGAAUUGCGUUUCGGUUCAAACUUGUGUUGGUGGGAUUUGGUUUGGAUUGUUGAAUUUUACCUUUUUUUUUUUUUUAUGUAUUUCUGAUUAGAAGGUCUUUGGGGGAUUGAGGAAAUUAGUUGAUCUUUAUUUUUUUUUCUUAUGGUGUGGAAUUUUCAGGUAUUUUUUUGUAUAAUGCCAUUUCUGGGAUAAGGGGCAAUCAGAUUUUUGAAGUCGUGAUUAAACCCUCUUUGGUACAUCAAAGCAUUUUUCAGAUCUAAGAUUUUCGUAGCUUUCGAAGAAAAAUGAGUACAUGGUUUUGGCUACAACUUGAAUGUGGUUGAUAAAUUACAUUUGUAGUGUAGGUUUAUGGGGUAGAUGGUGAUGAAUUUGUGAAUUUUACAUGUGACGUUGUUUCCGUUGGAGGAUUGUAACGAAUGCGAACAGCCUUUACCCGAGAGCUAUCAGCCCCCUGGAGAUGAGCCUUGGACAACCUGAAUUUUUGGCUGUGCUGAAGAUAGAGAAAGUUGCUUGACAGGGUUAUUUUGCACUUGUGUUCUGUUUGGGCGCAAUGUUAAGAGCCUAAGAGACGAUACCCCUUGGAACAGACCAUGCAUUUGUCAUGCCGUGUGGUUGAGCACACUGCAAUUAGAUUUUCCUGAAUAAACUAAGAAUCAUGUGAACUAAUUAUAAUAAUUUGAUUUGAAUACGAUUUAAUAUUUCUCAA